rnacentral:rRNA from 1 species
CGCCAUGGGCGCAGCCUGAUCCAGCCAUACCGCGUGGGUGAAGAAGGCCUUCGGGUUGUAAAGCCCUUUUGUUGGGAAAGAAAUCCAGCCGGCUAAUACCUGGUUGGGAUGACGGUACCCAAAGAAUAAGCACCGGCUAACUUCGUGCCAGCAGCCGCGGUAAUACGAAGGGUGCAAGCGUUACUCGGAAUUACUGGGCGUAAAGCGUGCGUAGGUGGUUGUUUAAGUCUGUUGUGAAAGCCCUGGGCUCAACCUGGGAACUGCAGUGGAAACUGGACAACUAGAGUGUGGUAGAGGGUAGCGGAAUUCCCGGUGUAGCAGUGAAAUGCGUAGAGAUCGGGAGGAACAUCCAUGGCGAAGGCAGCUACCUGGACCAACACUGACACUGAGGCACGAAAGCGUGGGGAGCAAACAGGAUUAGAUACCCUGGUAGUCCACGCCCUAAACGAUGCGAACUGGAUGUUGGGUGCAAUUUGGCACGCAGUAUCGAAGCUAACGCGUUAAGUUCGCCGCCUGGGGAGUACGGUCGCAAGACUGAAACUCAAAUGAAAUUGACGGA